GGCCGGUGAUGUGCUGGCUCUCGUAGUCGGUACAUGACCUGGCCAUCCGUAUGGGAAGACAGCUCGGCCUUCACUGGUCGGCUGUUGGACCAUACACUUUACUUUGAAAAAAUUAGAGUGUUUCAGGCAGGCGAUUGCUUGGAUACUUCAGCAUGGAAUAAUGGAAUAGGACUUUGGCCUAUUUGUUGGUUUCUCGAGGCCAAAGUA
rnacentral:rRNA from 1 species